AUAAACGCUGGCGGCGCACAUAAGACCUGCAAGUUGAACGGACUUAAUCGAAAUAUUUAUAUUUUGAAGCGGUUAGUGGCGGACUGGUGAGUAACGCGUAAGGAACCUGCCUAUUAGAGGGGAACAACAGUGAGAAAUCAUUGCUAAUACCGCAUAUGCCAUAGCUAUCACAUGAUAAUAGUGGGAAAGGAGCAAUCCGCUAAUAGAUGGCCUUGCGUCUGAUUAGAUAGUUGGUGGGGUAACGGCCUACCAAGUCGACGAUCAGUAGCCGGACUGAGAGGUUGAACGGCCACAUUGGGACGGAGAUACGGCCCAGGCUCCUGCGGGAGACAGCAGUCGGGAAUAUUGCGCAAUGGAGGAAACUCUGACGCAGUGACUGCGCGUAUAGGAAGAAGGUUUUCGGAUUGUAAACUAUUGUCGUUAGGGGAGAGAAAGGACAGUACCUAAGGAGGAAGCUCCGGCUAACUACGUG
rnacentral:rRNA from 1 species